GAUGGUGAUCAUCAGCAUAAAUGUCAUCCAUGCGACUCCACUGGUUAAAUAACGAUUGCUUUUGGUGUGAAAAAAAUCAAUAUUUAAGUACUUUUUAACUAUAAAUCAUAGCUUCCGGUCAGCAGCAGUAUACGCAUUCACGAGAGGGCGGAGUUCACACGGUCUGUGGUGUGACGUAUUCGCUUUGGCAUGUUUGGACAUAAUCUCACAUUUUUCUCUCGUUUGAGACAUCCAGGAUGAGCACACAAACUCCCCAUUGUGAGUAAACAAACAGAUAAAACCAAUGGCGCUUCUAAACAGUGUUCCUCCUAUUCCGUUUUAAACAACGCCGCUCUUUCAGGUGUGUCGCACGUGCUGUUCUCACGUGAACGUGCCAAUGCGAUUACGUCACGCGUGUACUGCUGCUGACCGGAAGCGAUGAUUUAUAGUUAAAAAGUACUUAAAUAUUGAUCUUUUUCGCACCAAAAGCAAUCGUUUCGCUUAAGACGACAUUAACGAGUGGAGUCAUAUGGAUGACAUUUAUGCUGUCUGUCACCAUCCACUUGAAUUUUAAGGGCCUACUGAGCUAAGAUAUUUUUCAUCGAAUGCGUUCUGGUAAAGAAAGAAAGUCAUACACAUCUGGGAUGGCAUGAGGGUGAGUAAAUGAUGAGAGAAUGUAAAUUUUUGGGUCAACUAUCCCUUUGAUUAAAAUGAACUAAUGCCACACAAUUCUAGAACAUUUUGUCAACUCUAUUUCAAUGCAUUCUAUCCAUUUAAAUUUGUAAAAUGGAAGUUUUAUGAAUACUUUUUGUGGUGUUAAUUUAGCAUUGAUGAAACUGGGCAGGGUAUUUCCAUUUUCCAGCAUGCUUUGCAUGGGACUCGUUAGGGAGAGUAAAUGUUUAAAUUAAGUGUUAGUUUGUGUUUUUGUGCAGGAUGAAUAUAAAGGGGGAUACUUGUUGGUGUUUAAUGUUUUUUUAUGUUGAGAUUUAGAAGAGUUGUUUUAUGUUGGAGUUUUGGGGGUUUCCAUUAUGGUAAAGAAAGUGGAGUUUGAUGUAACAAUGAGGACAUCACAUAUGAAAUUGAUUGCUCGCUUCGUUGAGCAAUUGCUGUGCUAACCAUAGCACAGUUACUAAACUACACUCUGUUGUGCAACCAGCAUGUAUUUAGCAUGCUAACAUUCACUUUCACUAGUUAGUAUAUAAUAAGUAAAAGAGAUCUGAGUUACAUUGAUACGUCUAACUUUGUUGGGUUUACUCAAUUCAACUAGGUUCUUUCUACACAAAGUGUUGGUGUUGAGAUUACGUAGUAAUUUUAAGUCAAGAAAACAAAUUUCAAACAUGUGGAACCACUGUCCAUGAUUGAAUCAAGUUCAGCCAAAGAUUUGUUUUUUUAGUGUAUCGUAUGACUUCAGAAUACUCUGAAUGUACUGCACAAGUCAUAUGAACUGUAAUCAUAUUUUAUGGUGCUUUUUGGCUUUUUCUCCACAGUUUACUUUCACUUAUUAUUUGAAAAAAAUAGAGCCAUUCUCCAACAGUUCUCCUUUUGUGUUCCACAUCAGAAAGCCAUACAGUUUUGAAACAAUGGUGAGAAAAUGGCGACUUCAUUUUUAGGGUGAACUCUCCCUUUAACAGCUCUCCAUAGGAAUUGUUUGUAUUAUGAGGUGAAAUAAGUAGGAAACCCAGAGCUCAAGCUGUAAAGUGGAAAAAUGUACCUUUUAAUUUAACACUGGAUUACUUACCUGUGGAGCUGUUAAUGGAAUACGUAACCACAUAUGCCAUAUAAAGACUUUAAUUUUGCAAGUUUUAUUCAUCAAAUGAUUCAAUUAAAGCUCUUUCAAGAAUUUAUUAAAUAUGAAACGGACACAUUCGCACCUUACCAGGAGUACAUGAAUAUGAUGAGCAUGUAUCUGUAAGGACCUAUUUAAUCAGGUUAGUUACACUUUAACUGCUGGAUCUUAUCAAUCACUACAUUUACCGUAACUUUAGGUGUUUUGUUUGGUUUAGGUCUCUUAAUACUCAAGCUUCCAUUUUCUUAUGUUACUGCUGAUCCUUUAAUACAACGCACAUAUUUUGUUCAAUCGGGGUGCAGUGUCUUACACGGUACAGGCAUAUUCAGGUGAAUUGUGGUGCUGAACCAUUCUUGCUGGUUUCCUUUGGAUUUCCACUAAUUUCGUGGUGCUUUCCGCAACCUGGAAAACCAGCACACGUGUACUUUUACACAAACACACAUACACACUGAUAAAAAGACGUACACACACUGGGAAAAUGCAGAAUAAAUACGGUAAAAAAAUAAAUAAAUAAAAAAACUAAAGAAAAAACUACUGGGCAACUUUAACUCAUCUUUGUUUUGUUUUUAUUUGUGUAUUUUUUUUUUUUUUUUUUUUUUUUGUACUGUGAAUGAUAGUGUCUUUCAGACUGUAUAAUUGUACAUAAUUUGGUUUAUUUAUCAUUUUAAUUUUCUGUCAUUUGUUUUUGUUGGUGAUUGUUGGCUCUUUUGUAUAGGAGCAGAGCACAACAUGUGCAAAGUGUAUGAACUUGACUCACAGUCUAAACAAUAUGGUGCUACAAUCUGUACAACUUUAGACUGUGCUUAUUUAUAUUAAGAACAUCAACACACACAAAAAAAAAAAAUUAAUAAAGAUACUUGGUGCUUUUAAACGGGAAUGAUUUCAAGCCUUGCGGCAUUUAUUUUUCCAAUAUUUAUUAUGUUAUCGUAUUAUUUGGCACCCAGCUUAAAGCAGUUAUUGCUUGUUUGGAUAGUGCUGAUUAUUUUAUAGAAGAAACACCUUUUGGUCUUAAUCUAACAGACUUAAAUAAGCAUGGAAGUUCACCACGCUUUGCGGAACUUUAUAGGAGGGUGAUAAAAAUUUUAAUGAAGUAUUUACUUCAGUGGUGCUCGCAUCUGAACUUGACCUGUAUGACAAGUAGUGAAUGCAUAGAGCUACUACACCUUGACUGUUUGAGCCUGUAUGAAAUGGAAAACUGGUGCCAAUGGCGUUAAUUUUUUGUAUCUGUUAUAUUAAAACUUUCAUUUGUUAUAAAGAUGAAAAUGUGUGCUAAGCCUAUUUGCCUACAUUUCUGGGCCUAAACGGCUCGGUGCUGUUUUCACAAUGUAAUAAUCACUGCUUCGUCUUACUAAAAUUGGUGCUGUUGUUUAAACAGAUGUCUAAUAUGUCCCAUACCAAAACCUACAAUCCACUAUCAAAGCCUGUCCUAGAGUGUGUUGUGUAACUUAGAGUUAGAGCCUGUUGCGUUUCGUGGUGAGGUGAAGUUCCGAUGUGACUGAUCGUAGAGAUGGUUAGUUUUCCGUCAGUGGGCUAGUACUGUGGUCGACCGAUACUGAUAUCUAAGAUGUAAUUCAGAUACUCACUGAGCACUUUAUUAGGAACACUGUGGUGCUAAUAAAGUGCCCGACGUGGUCUUCUGCUGUUGAAGCCCAUCCCCCUAAAGGUUCGACGUGUUGUGCAUACGGAGAUGCUAUUCUACUCACUACAAUUGUACAGAACGGUUAUCUGAGUUACCGUAGCCUUUCUGUCAGCUCGAAUCAGUCUGGCCAUUCUCCAUUGAUCUCUCAUCAACGAGGCAUUUCCGUCCGCAGAACUGCCGCUCACUGGGUGUUUUUUUGGUUGGGAACCACUGCUCUAGAGACUGUUGUGCGUGAAAAUCCCAGGAGAUCAGCAGUUACAGAAAUACUCAAACCAGCCCAUAUGGCACCAACAAUCAUGCCACGGUCAAUCACUGAGAUCACAACUUUUCCCCAUUUUGAUUGUUGAUGUGAACAUUAACUGAAGCUCCUGACCCGUAGCUGCAUGAUUUUAUGCAUUACACUGCUGCCACACGAUUGGCUGAUUCGAUAAAUCGCAUGAAUAAGUGGGUAUACAGGUGUUCCUUAUAAAGUGCUCUGAGUAAUAGGUAACACAAUUUGAUGACAAAUGAGACGCAAAAUUUCUUCAGUGAAAAAACACUACUGGAAAAUGUAUGAAAACAAAUCAUCCAUUGACAAGGCUGUUUUGUCUUUGGCUUUUUUGAAAUUGAUAUUUGUGGUAAUUGGCCCAAAAUGGUCAAAUAUCCUACCUGGCAUAUCGGUCUAUCACUGGCUAGUACAACAUUGUCAAAAUGGUAAUUGGCGUGCAACAUAGUCGGCGGGAGUGCAGUUCCUUAGUUUUGUAUCCUUGUUUUCUUCAUUGUGUGUUUUGUUUUUGUCUCGAAAAAAGUCAACCUCAUCUAAGCUUUAUAGUCAAAAUGCUGUUUAAUAGACUAUGGUGUAAAAUGAUAUAAAAACAUUGUGUAAUUUCUGUCUAACUAAAGAUGAUAUAGGAUAUUGACCAGUAAAUGAGUCCAUUGUUACCAGCACUGAGGGUCUUUUUUUUGUAGAAAUUAAUAGUCAUUGUUAAUGUUUCCUGUUUUAAUGGCCAAUUUGUGUUUUGAUAUCUUUGCAACUGUUUAUGAUUUCAUUAUCCUGACAGUUUGAAAACUCUUUAGAACAGGAAGGUGCUCUCCUGCACUUUAAACAAGGAAAAUGCAGCUAUGAAAUUCAUGCACCUCUUGCAUUGUGCUAGCGAGAGUUAAUCAUUUAAUAAACGUCAAUGCAAGCUUGGCUUGUUAUUGUGACGUCUCUUUCUAAAUCUUUUGUCCAUCCAGACAUCUCUUGUUGGAAUGGAAAUUAACUUAAGCUUUUCUUGAAAUUGAUUUUGAACUAUUUAAAAUAAAAACAAUUCAUAAUUCUUGCUGGUGUUGCAUUUUCUCAGGUAUAUGUACAAGGUUAGAUGUGCAUUGCAAAAGGCAACUCAAGUCCUUUGGCAUGUUUCCAUAGAUUAAUGAUUAUGUCCAAAUAUAAAUAUGUAAAUUCACAAAGGUUCUGUCUAGUGUCUCAGGAACAUCAGUUCUGACUUUAAUAGAGUUGCAUAUUGGAAGGGAAUGUUAAAUAUAUUGGCUGUCUUCCUGUAGCUGACAUAUAUAAAUGAGAAUUGAUUGGUUGCCCUUAGAAGUUUGCUUUACUGUGCAUUGUUUACCUGUGAUCGCAAUGUCCACCGGCGUAUCAGCACUGACUAUCUUUCAGUCAUAAUGUUCCAAUCCAAAUUCAUCCCUUUUAAGUUAUGAAAAAUGCUUGUAUUACUCAAAUACUUUAAUACUUGCAUUCCUAUUUUCAGUGAAUCACAAAUUAUAUUUUGUAAUUGUUUAUCAAAACCAUCAUAGGAUUAUUGUGCAGUAAUAGCAAACUCUUAGAGCCGCCAGAUUUGUGUCACUGUGUUUGGUGCUUUGAACUUAAGUUAAAAUUACAGCCUAAAUGAGUGGAUAAAAGCUUUUAAAUCCCAGUUUUCUGUUAACAAAAUUAAUAAAGUGUUUCUAAUGAAAA